rnacentral:rRNA from 1 species
UCCGGAGGAAUACCGAUUGCGAAGGCAGCCCCCUGGACAGUGACUGACGCUCAUAUGCGAAAGCGUGGGGAUCAAACAGGAUUAGAUACCCUGGUAGUCCACGCUGUCAACGAUGUCGAUUUGAAGGUUGUGGCUUUAAGCCGUGGCUUUCGGAGCUAACGCGUUAAAUCGACCGCCUGGGGAGUACGGCCGCAAGGUUAAAACUCAAAUGAAUUGACGGGGGCCCGCACAAGCGGUGGAGCGUGUGGUUUAAUUCGAUGCAACGCGAAGAACCUUACCUACUCUUGACAUCCAGUGAACCUUGUAGAGAUACGAGGGUGCCUUCGGGAACACUGAGACAGGUGCUGCAUGGCUGUCGUCAGCUCGUGUUGUGAAAUGUUGGGUUAAGUCCCGCAACGAGCGCAACCCUUAUCCUUUGUUGCUAGCGGUUCGGCCGAGAACUCAAAGGAGACUGCCAGUGAUAAACUGGAGGAAGGUGGGGAUGACGUCAAGUCAUCAUGGCCCUUACGAGUAGGGCUACACACGUGCUACAAUGGGGUAUACAAAGAGAGGCAAGCCUGCGAGGGUAAGCGGAACUCAUAAAGUACCUCAAAGUCCGGAUUGGAGUCUGCAACUCGACUCCAUGAAGUCGGAAUCGCUAGUAAUCGUAAAUCAGAAUGUUACGGUGAAUACGUUCCCGGGCCUUGUACACACCGCCCGUCACACCAUGGGAGUGGGUUGCAAAAGAAGUCAAUAGCUUAACCUUCGGGAGGGCGUUGACCACUUUGUGAUUCAUGACUGGGGUGAAGUCGUAACAAGGUAACCGUAAAUCGAAUUCCC